UGCGAAGCGAAACGGACAAAGUUGAGUGUUGGUCGAACGGACAAGGGCUGGACGAAUAGCGGAUCGCUCUACGAAUACUUGGCUAACGUAUUCUAUCCCUGAUUGGUAAAAACAAAUAUUAUGUUUCCUUCUAUCGUUCUCGUUGAUGGUCACCGGUCACAUGCCACAUAUGGAACGGUACAAUUCUGCAAAGAGAAGAACAUCGUUUCGAUAUCACUUCCACCGAACGCAACACACUUAAUCCAGCCCCUUGAGGUGUCCUUUUUCAAGCCUAUGAAAAGUUAAUGCGACAAUGUGCUUUUCAAAUGGCGGUUCGACAACGGAGUUGCGGCAAUAACAAGACCGGCCUUCGCUCCAUUAUUGAAUCGAUAAACGCAAUGGAAAAUAAGUAACGCCAAUGUAAUAGAUUAUUCUUCAUUGUCCAACCCAUAGUCAGAAGAAGUACGACAAAAUAUUUCGAUAUCUGUGCGCAACCAUAAAGCAGAACCUGGUUUAUCUAGCUCUAUAUUCCUUCGCGAGUUGAACCGCCGACUUCACCCGAACUUCUUACGGCUUUUGAACAACUGCGCCGAAACUUGUUGUGGACUGGCCAUCCUGAAGCAAUUUCCAGCUUUUUUUUUUCGAAAUCGAUCCCGUUCUGAUCGAUCUCAACAUCGACACGAUUAUUCUCCAAGGAGAAUAAUUUGCUUAUUCUGAGGAAAUGUUAUCUUCGGCGGAACUUUACAUGAACGGCAACAUGAAUUAUGUCAAUUCCGAAUAUAUUGGAUCCGACCAACACUCAAACAUAUUGGGAUCAAAUCGUCCUAUAGGAUUCGGUAAGAUAUGAAUCUUCACGCACCAAUAUAUUUUAAAAUAUUGUAUAAAUAAUACACACGUUUUUUAACUACAGACCAGCAGAUAGAUAUGAGG